GACGGGGGGCCCGCACAAGCGGUGGAGCAUGUGGUUUAAUUCGAAGCAACGCGAAGAACCUUUACCAGGUCUUGACAUCCCGAUGCUAUUUCUAGAGAUAGAAAGUUACUUCGGUACAUCGGUGACAGGUGGUGCAUGGUUGUCGUCAGCUCGUGUCGUGAGAUGUUGGGUUAAGUCCCGCAACGAGCGCAAUCCCUAUUGUUAGUUGCCAUCAUUCAGUUGGGCACUCUAGCGAGACUGCCGGUAAUAAACCGGAGGAAGUGGGGAUGACGUCAAAUCAUCAUGCCCCUUAUGACCUGGGCUACACACGUGCUACAAUGGUUGGUACAACGAGUUGCGAGUCGGUGACGGCGGGCUAAUCUCUUAAAGCCAAUCUCAGUUCGGAUUGUAGGCUGCAACUCGCCUACAUGAAGUCGGAAUCGCUAGUAAUCGCGGAUCAGCACGCCGCGGUCGAAUACGUUCCCGGGCCUU
rnacentral:rRNA from 1 species